GCAGGUCAGAGCUGGGAGCAGUCACAGAAGCAGCCCACAGAGCAGACCUGUGCCGGGAGCAGAGCUGGAGCAAGGGGGGCCAGAGAAGCAGCCCAGGGAGCUGAAGGCGGAGCAGCAGCCGCAGCCGAGCUGAGGCCGAGUGGAGCUGGGGCUGGAGCCGGAGCUGGAGCUGGAGCCGGGACUGGGGCUGGAGCCGCCCGGAGCCGGGUGCGGGGAGCAGCCAGGAAGAGGAGGGGGACCCUGGACAGUGGGCCCAGCGCAGGGAGACGCCCCCCAGCCAAGAGGCUCUGCAGGCCAGACUUGGGGGGAUCGUAACCCCGAUUGGGCGGGGGCGACGCUGGGAAGAAGGGUCCUGCCCCCUAGAGCCUGAGAGCGUGUGGCCACCGCCAGAGAAGUGUCCGACCCGCAGCGUCCCUGCAGCACAGCCAGGGACUGGGCAGGGGCCUGGGACGUUUGAGGAACUGACUGACUUUCCCUGACAUUGCAGAGACGCUGGCUGUGACGUCCCCGUGCCACAGAGCGGGGUGACAGGGCCCAUGGCACCGUAAAUGCACACAUGGCUCGAAGGGAACCCCAGGGGUCCUGGAAAGGGAGGACAUGAUAGGAGGGACUUCCAGAACCAUACAGCCAACUCAUUGGACCAAAAAGAGGGACGUGCAAUCUAAUGCUGGAGUCUAAUUGGGGCAAUAUCAUGGGGGAAGGGGAGUUGGAAACCUGUCAAAAAUAUAUGCUGAGGAAAGGGCCAAGGGAAGCCUGGCUGUGAACAGGUACCAGCGUUCCUGGGGGUUGAGCCGAGGCCGUUGUUGUUGAUCUGCCUUUAUGCAGCGUUGGAAACAUUCCUUUCCAAGUACAAGCUACUGCCGAUGGCAGCCAGCCCAGCUGAGACAAAGGGCAGUGGGGCAGGGAUGAAGCUGAUAUGGAGCCAACACAGACUGCUUGUGAGGCUAGAAAACCCAUCGGUUACAGCUACAACCCCAAGCUGAUGGAUAGGCCCAGGAGAGAAACUGAAGCCCUGUCUAGAUCAGUGAGAGGGGUGCAUACACGGAGGAGCUCCCAGGUCAGGGCAUCCUGUGCAGCUCUGAUCCUGCCAGAGCUCUUAUCUGCUAAACCACAAUGCAGCACAUGUUCUCCGUCCCAGCUGGGCCUGUCUGCGAUCUCACUGCCGUGAACCAGGAGGAAUCCAUCUGGACUCAGUGUCGGAGAGAGGAGAACCAGGCCCAUAUUGUGCUGCUGGUGCGAGAGCACAUGGGCACUCGGGGGCACCAUCCAGCUGACAAUUCACAAAGAGGCUGGCCUCAGAGGAGCUCACCAGGGAAUCACUAAGGUUGACUGAUGAUGUACACAUCAUACAGUGAGAAAGAAACAUCCCUUCCCCGGGGAGACACAGGGCUGCAUUCUCCCCAUGGGAAAUUACAGUGUUUCGUUGUGGAUGAGAGUUCCCCAAGCCAAGCUGGAUUCUGCUCGCCUCUCCUGCUGACAGCGCGUGGGUAAUGCUAGCUGGACUCCUGCCCGGACUCUUGCAUAAAUACUCCUUUGUCUACAGGCAGCUGGGCACCACACACCACGACUGAUAACCCUCCUCCGCAGUGCACAAUUCAGACCUGCUCCCUGUCCAGCGCUGGCUGAGAAAGGAACGGAGCAGGUAGCAGGAAUGUGAGUUGUGAAAUGCAGCGUCGAUUGCAAACAACCUGAACCACGUAUCGCAGACGCAAACACCAGCCAGAUAACCAGCCAGCCAAACAUGCAGGGCCCUGGUGUCAGGCCCGAAACACCCCCCCGGGGUGACCCCAGGAGGGAAUCUGGCCCUGUGCUUCCUUAGUGUUGAACAAUCCAUUCAUUCACUCAGUAUAAAUGUUUAAAGUGGCGGUGUGACAUUCAGCGUGAUCAAAUUGACGCUCGCCGAAAGGUGGAAUUCAGGUGGGAGGAGAUACCAAAGACAGGGCGAAGGACAUUUUCCUUCUCUGUUUCCAUGUUCCAUGGUUCCCACUGCAAGGAAAUAAUGCAGAGAAUUCAAAGGGGGGGACACAAAAAUGAUCCAGGGGCUUGAAAACAAGCGGUUCCAGGUAAGGGUAGAGGAGCUCAACGGAAUCAGCUGAUCAAAGAGAAGCGUCGCGCGGUGACUUGAUUGCUGUGUCUAACACAUGGACGGGA